CUUCACCGAACCCAACCACAGCGGUGCCGCCCGAUCCUGCCCGUACGUCGCCAGCAGCGCCUGCGCCUC
rnacentral:antisense_RNA from 1 species